rnacentral:rRNA from 1 species
UACAGAGGGCCCAAGCGUUGUUCGGAUUCACUGGGCGUAAAGGGCGCGUAGGUGGUUAGGUAAGUCCGAUGUGAAAUCUCCAGGCUCAACCUGGAAAUGGCAUUGGAUACUAUCUAGCUUGAGGAGUGGAGGGGGGACUGGAAUUCUCGGUGUAGCAGUGAAAUGCGUAGAUAUCGAGAGGAACACCAGUGGCGAAGGCGAGUCCCUGGACACUUCCUGACACUAAGGCACGAAAGCUAGGGGAGCAAACAGG